rnacentral:rRNA from 1 species
UGGGGAAUAUUGGACAAUGGGGGGAACCCUGAUCCAGCCAUGCCGCGUGUGUGAAGAAGGCCUUAUGGUUGUAAAGCACUUUAAGCGAGGAGGAGGGUACUGGUAUUAAUACUACCAGCUACUGGACGUUACUCGCAGAAUAAGCACCGGCUAACUCUGUGCCAGCAGCCGCGGUAAUACAGAGGGUGCGAGCGUUAAUCGGAUUUACUGGGCGUAAAGCGUGCGUAGGCGGCUAAUUGAGUCGGAUGUGAAAUCCCCGAGCUUAACUUGGGAAUUGCAUUCGAUACUGGUUAGCUAGAGUGUGGGAGAGGAUGGUAGAAUUCCAGGUGUAGCGGUGAAAUGCGUAGAGAUCUGGAGGAAUACCGAUGGAGAAGGCAGCCAUCUGGCCUAACACUGACGCUGAGGUACGAAAGCAUGGGGAGCAAACAGG